AAUAUCCUGUUUGUUGUUGU
rnacentral:misc_RNA from 1 species